GACGAACGCUGGCGGCGUGCUUAACACAUGCAAGUCGAACGGAAAGGCCCUGCUUUUGCGGGGCGCUCGAGUGGCGAACGGGUGAGUAACACGUGAGUAUCCUGCCCCUGUCUUUGGGAUAACUCUAGGAAACUGGGGCUAAUACCGGAUAGGAGCUCCUGCUGCAUGGGGGGGGUUGGAAAGUUUCGGCGGUUGGGGAUGGACUCGCGGCUUAUCAGCUUGUUGGUGGGGUAGUGGCGUACCAAGGCUUCGACGGGUAGCCGGCCUGAGAGGGUGACCGGCCACAUUGGGACUGAGAUACGGCCCAGACGCCUACGGGAGGCAGCAGUGGGGAAUAUUGCGCAGUAGGCGGAAGCCUGAUGCGGCAGCGCCGCGUGCGGGAUGACCGCCUUCUGGUUGUAAACCGCUUUCGCCUGUGACGAAGCGUGAGUGACGGUAAUGAGUAAAGAAGCACCGGCUAACUACGUG
rnacentral:rRNA from 1 species